rnacentral:rRNA from 1 species
GACAGCAGUCGCCGCGGUAAUACGGAGGGAGCUAGCGUUGUUCGGAAUUACUGGGCGUAAAGCGCACGUAGGCGGUUAUUCAAGUCAGAGGUGAAAGCCCGGGGCUCAACCCCGGAACUGCCUUUGAAACUAGAUGACUGGAAUCUUGGAGAGGUCAGUGGAAUUCCGAGUGUAGAGGUGAAAUUCGUAGAUAUUCGGAAGAACACCAGUGGCGAAGGCGACUGACUGGACAAGUAUUGACGCUGAGGUGCGAAAGCGUGGGGAGCAAACAGGAUUAGAUACCCCCGUAGUCCCUGUCUCUUAUAC